UUGACUAUGUGGGACUUUCCUCCCCCUCAAUCUGACAAGGCACUCAUUAACUUGAUUUCACUUUGUCACUAACUUUUGGGGGGAGUUAGAUGUGACCUGUAAAAGGCAGAGGAGUACAGGUAGUUACACCCCCUCCUCUGCUUGGCUUUAAAUAUAUGUUUGGGUGUCAUGAAGUGUGUGUUUAAGCAAGUGUCAGCCCCUGACAUCAGAUACAGCAUUUGUCCCUGCACCGUCGCUAUGAUGAUGAAUCAGCACAAAGUACAGCCGGCUCUACUGUGAUGUCAAGAGCGACGAGGAGAUGAGACUGAGAGAGGGGAGACGAGGAGGAAAUCGGGGCGAACAUCACAGGCUGAUAGUCUUUAUUCUGUGUCUGCUGCAUGCUGGGUAAAGAAACGCGGCCGUGUACAGGGCAGCGGCCGCCUGACGGCUUCAGAUCAGCAGACACCACUGAGAAGGUGGAAUAUUGGAAACCAUGCUUGGAAUCUCUGUCAGAGUGCAUGUUUAUGUGGGCAGGCACUCUCAGUUGACUUGGUGCUUUCCUGGUGUUCCUGGAAUAGGUCCAGCUUUUUCACUGGCUCGAAAGGUCCGGUUGGGGUUCCGGUGCACCUUCAUACCAGCUUUAUCUCCACUUACACACACCUUCAUUCAAGAUUUUAGUUGGACUGGCAGGUACAGUGGGUACGUGGACAGAUGGACUGACAGAUGGAGCGACAGUGAGGAUGACAUCAUCCCAUCCAGGGCAUGAGGAUGACAGUGAGGAUGACAUCACUGGACAUGACUGGUUCUGCCAGUGGUUGGUUGGCGGCGCGUAAGGUGGGAACAGGCACUGGCCUCCCAUUCACAUGGAAGCUUUUACCCUGCACGUCUGGAGAACGCACUCUGGAGAUGAACCUCAGGGGCCCAAGUCUUGGUUGCCAUUCCGGGGCUUGAACCUGUGUCCUCCAGACCUCCAAGCCCACCUCUGUAGCCACUAGACUACCACCCCUGCCAUACAACAGGCUGUAACUGCUUGUCAGCACGUUUGUUUGGACACAGUUGAAGCAAAGUUAAAUGGUGACUGUGAGAGUGGACCGGCAGCUACUCCUGCUGCUUUGAUGCCAGUUCUCUUUAAAUGUUUUACAGUUUGACUCAAUUCAUUUCAUUCAGCCAAAUGAUUUAUGUCUGACCUGGCAAUAAAGCUUUUUCUGAUUCUGAUUCUGAUUCUGAAACAGUGCCUGGUUUGUUUGUGUGGUGUGAGCAGAGGCCUUCCAGGAUAGGUGGCGUGAGCAGUGGUCUCGAUGCUGCUGGCAGGUGCCAGUCCAGCUGGGGGGUCCGGACCAGUCUGAGGUGCUACAGGGCUGAAGAUUUCUGGUUGAACCUGCGAUGGCACCAGUAUCUCCGGAUCAGACCUGCAAAAUGUUCAGCAGGGAUUCGGGAACAUUGCUCUGUCCACAACGGCUUCAGACGCAUGUGUUGGACGUCUGGUGUGAACGGCUCUCUCAAGUGGGACCACUUCCAGCUGGUAAAGAAGACCUGGACACUUAAAGCUAGUGAGGAAGACCCAGAAAAAUGGAUCGCUGCAAUUCACAGAAACAACUGGAUUCCAGGCACAGAAAAGUGGAUUUGUGGUUCCCAUUUUGUAUCAGUUGCAGCUGUUUUUGCCACUCAGUGCGAGUAAGGGGGCUGGUCCAGUGGAGAAGUGACAUCAAUGCUUACCCUCCAUUCAUGAAGAAAUGAGUGGUUUAUCAGUAUCACGUGCACAGCUCUGUGUCAUGUGUCCUGACCUGCAGGACAGGUGCAGGCGGUUGCAUUCCCUCACCUCUGGGAAGUUCAAGAUGCCAUUGUUGGAGUUACAGGCAUCAACGGCAGCGAGCCACAGACCACCGGGAUUCCAAGACGCUGCGGAGGAAAGUGAGUCUUCAUUAUUUUCUGGAUGUCCGUCACAUUGAAAGUAAAACGCUGCUUCUUGUCUGUCGUGUAACAACAGCUGCGGUGCAUGUCACCUGCCACACGCCGCCGGCCUCGGGACGUCGACUCGGUUUGAAUUUAUCCCUGCUGCUGGAGGCGACGCUGUGCUGCCAUGGCAACACGGGAUUCCUGUUUAAAGCUGGCUUCCUCUGAAUAAGAAGCGCUGUCACAGUUCUUCCUCCUCCGAGACGGUGGCUCAUCCACAGACAGAGCGACACGUGGCCGUGCAGGAGAGAGCGUGUGUGUGUGUGUGUGUUUAUCCAGCUGACAGGGGUGUGUGUGUUUGUGACGCAUGUGCCAUAAAGAGGAAAAUCAAUCUCACACACCGAACCAAACUAAAGCUCACAGGGUAAUAUAGCACUUUUAACUUAAUUACAUUUAUCUGCCCCCUUUAGUCACUUGUUACUUUACAAAUGACAAUUUUAGGUUUUGAUUUGCAAAAACGACUGCUAAGUAUUGCUAAAGGGUUUGGUUUUGAGAACUUUAGUUAAAAUCAAAACAAAUCGAAAUUAAAUGUGUGGAUAUUGCUCAUUCCAGCUGUUUUGUUGAGUAUUUUCUGUUUCUGUUUAUUUCUAAUUACAAUCAUCUGAUGUCACCUAUUUGAAAUAAUAUAUUUUCUUUCCCUCAGUUAAUGGCACCCUAUAUACACACUUUCUUUUCUUCCUAUUUUUGAUGCAGGACCAUGUAGACGUGAACUAACGUAUAAUAAUAUCAGAAGCGGUUUCC